rnacentral:lncRNA from 1 species
ACUGCCUCUUUGUGUUCACGGAGCACCCUAGCCAGUUUUUCUUCUUCAGUUUGGCUUAACCUUUUUGAAGUUAUCACUGGGAGAGUCUCUCAUUCUCCCAAAAAGGCAUACUUUAGGUGUUCUGACAGUAGUUUCAACUCUAAUUUAGGGGUCUGGAAAAUAGAUGGUGGAAGUUUUGUAUGAGAAAUGGGAAGAUCAAGAUAUGGGGUCUUACUUUUCAUCUACUUAAAUGAUUCUAAUUUGAACACAACUUCUUGCAAAUAUUGGUUAGCAAC